GAUGAACGCUGGCGGCGUGCCUAAUACAUGCAAGUCGAGCGAACAGACGAGGAGCUUGCUCCUCUGAUGUUAGCGGCGGACGGGUGAGUAACACGUGGAUAACCUACCUAUAAGACUGGGAUAACUUCGGGAAACCGGAGCUAAUACCGGAUAACAUGUUGAACCGCAUGGUUCAACAGUGAAAGACGGUCUUGAUGUCACUUAUAGAUGGAUCCGCGCCGCAUUAGCUAGUUGGUAAGGUAACGGCUUACCAAGGCAACGAUGCGUAGCCGACCUGAGAGGGUGAUCGGCCACACUGGAACUGAGACACGGUCCAGACUCCUACGGGAGGCAGCAGAGGGAAUCUUCCGCAAUGGGCGAAAGCCUGACGGAGCAACGCCGCGUGAGUGAAGAAGGUCUUCGGAUCGUAAAACUCUGUUAUUAGGGAAGAACAAAUGUGUAAGUAACUAUGCACGUCUUGACGGUACCUAAUCAGAAAGCCACGGCUAACUACGUG
rnacentral:rRNA from 1 species